GAAGCUUGCAUGGUUUCCUCAGGAAGGAGGCAUUGAAGUCAGUUUCAGUUGAGGGGUCUCUUGGACCUAUGUCGGAAGUGUAUGGUGUUUUCAACAGUAGGACUUACUUUCCACCUCAAGAGGCAACUAAAGGCAGCAGCAAUAGUCCGCAAGUUUUUGGUUUCUGCUUGUGGCAAAGAGAAGUUCCUUGUUGAGGGCAUGAAGACUACACUUCUCUGCCCAGGAAACAUCAUGGAACAGAGUGUGGGAAAGCUACAAGAGCUGGCAGGUGGUGAAGAUCACUAGAAAUUGCUGUCUUUUGACUGUGAGAUGGCUGCUGAAAACACAAAAGGAGAACAACAGCUGUGGCUAACUGUGUAAGAUCCGAGCAAAUGGCAUGGAUGACAAGACAACAUCAGAUACAGAUAGAAUGAUAAUAUGCAAAAGCAUACAGACUUCUCACAUAUAAAUGCUGUCUAGUUAUUUUAAGACAUUUUGUGGAAACUCCAAAAGUAAAGAGGCCGGAACAAUGAUGCAUCAACUGAAUUAAUCACCAUCAUCACUCUCGUAAAGGAAAAACAAAGCAACUUCAGCACACUCAAUCAUCAUGAACGCCAAGAGAAUGGAUCCGCAUAAAACCAGGGCUGGGUCCUGGUCCUAGGAGAACUCCAGAAAGUCCUGGAACCAGACAUUUAAGGCUGCUGAUGAAGAGCUAGACUCAAACUGACCCAUUAGUGCCAAAGGGAGCUGAGAAAGAAAGCUUUCUUUUCAUAAAUGCUGUCAAAUCUAAGCUGUGAACAUUGCCUAAGAUAGACAUUCCGGACAAAUGUAGCAGUAUUCCACAGCACCCAUUCCUUGUACUGUUUUAUAGAUGCCACUGAUUCAAUGGCAUGUUUGUACCAUGCACUGUAUUACUUAUGGAUAACCCAUUCACAAAACACCAUCAUGUGGGACUCUAAGGAAUAAGGAAUAAUCACCAUUGUGACUUGGGUCAGCAAGAACAUGAAAGUGAACACAUGGUUAAAUUCAAGCAUUCCCCUAAACAAGCAUUUUAGUGUUUUCAUCUUUAUUUAAAAGCAUAGAAAAGUGAAAUAAUAACUAUAUUAUUGCCAUAAAAAUAUAUAGUUGAUGUUAUCUAUAAGUAAAUUAUAAAUAACUAUGCAUUUCAAAAUUAUGUUAUUGCAUGU